rnacentral:rRNA from 1 species
GACGGAGGGUGCUAGCGUUGUUCGGAAUGACUGGGCGUAAAGGGCGCGUAGGCGGCUCGUGAAGUCGGGUGUGAAAGCCCGGGGCUCAACCCCGGAACGGCAUCCGAUACUGGCGGGCUUGAGACCGGGAGAGGAGGGUGGAAUACCCAGUGUAGAGGUGAAAUGCGCAGAUAUCAGGAGGAACACCGAUGGCGAAGGCAGCUCGCUGGGACGGUACUGACGCUGAGGCGCGAAAGCGUGGGGAGCAAACAGG